ACCCCAUGCAGGUCGAGCGCGCCCCCGCGGCGCGCGUCACGCAUCAGACCUCUAAUCGGAAAAGACUACCCGCUGAGUUUAA
rnacentral:rRNA from 1 species